UUCCGGCUGGAGCGGGCACCUGCGGCGCGGCGGCGGCCAUGGCGUCCUCCGCGGUGCGCAGGGUGGCCCUGGCCUCGGGGCUCGUCCUGGCCGCGUCGCUGCUGCUGCCCAAGGCCUUCCUGUCCCGCGGAAAGCCGCAGGAGCCGCCGCCCGCGCCCGAAGGGAAGUUGGGUCGAUUUCCACCCGUGAUGCCCCAUCGCCAGGCGCCCUCAGACGGCCAGACGCCUGGGGCUCGUCUCCAGAGGUCUCACCUCGCGGAGGCCUUUGCAAAGGCCAGAGGAUCGGGAGCAGGCCCUGGAGGAGGAGGUAGUGGAAGAGGCCUCAUGGGGCAGAUCAUUCCGAUUUAUGGUUUUGGGAUUUUCUUAUAUAUACUGUACAUCCUGUUUAAGCUCUCGAAGGGGAAGAGCCCUGCAGAAGACCGCAGAUGCUCCACUGCCCCCCCGGGGAACUCCCACAGGAAGAUCACCAACUUUGAACUUGUUCAAUUGCAAGAAAAACUGAAGGAGACAGAGGAAGCCAUGGAAAAAUUAAUCAGCAGAGCAGGGCCUAACGGUGAGAGCAGAGCACAGACUGUGACUUCUGACCAAGAAAAGCGGCUGCUGCAUCAGCUCCGAGAAAUCACCAGGGUCAUGAGAGAAGGGCGACUCAUUGACAGACCCACCCCGGAGCAGGAAGCCGAGGAGGCCUCUCCCACGGAGGACUGGGAAGGUUACCCUGAAGAGACUUAUCCGAUUCACGACCUUUCCGAUGGGGUCAGGCGUCGGCCCGAAACCAUCCUGGUGGAUUUCCCCGACCCCCAGGAGCCCUCCGCCGAGGAAAUCGCUGAAAGAAUGGAGCUGCCGGAAGAAGAGGAGGCGGGCCGCCUGGGUCGGGAGAUGCCAGCCAAGCCCAGAGCCCCGGAGGACGGCGCCGCCGCCCCAGGCGGCCCCCGGCCGGAAACCUGUUCCUGCUGUUUUCCUGCCCAGGAGGACCCCGCGGUCCUGGCAGAGCACGCUGGGUUCGGCGCAGACGGUCCCAGCGAGCGGGAGGAAGGCGCCCGCGAAGAGCCGGGCAUCGGGGCUGCCAGGGCCUGUGUGGGGGGCGCGCUGAGGAGGCGGAGCCCCCAGGGCUCGGAGUGAAAGCAGCCGGGGUGGGGGUGUCUGCUGCUCAGUCCCUGUGACCCGUCCGCUCCCAGCGCCCCCUGCACCCAGCGCCCCUGUCCGUGUCCACGUGUCAUCGCCGGCCAGGCCCCUGCGAUGGCUCUCCUGUGUCCUCCUGGUGCUGACACAGCUGUCCCCGUAAACACCGCGGACAUGAGCACGGACGCCCGACGGCCUCACUCCUUUCCCGCCCCUCCCCCGUCGGCGGUGAUGCACCGCGUAGCUUUGCCUCUGCUGUAGUGUCAGAGGGGACGGCUCUGGGCACAGGCCUGACGCGUCGUGCCAGGCCAGCCUGCUUUACCUGCGGACAAACGUUGCGUUCCUCGUGCGGAGGACCCACCGUUGCCAAGAGCGACGCUUCAGAGUCCCGGAGGCCUUGCUCCGCGGCCUUCAGCAGGUUGGUGCCCUGCUGGGUUCAGGAGGACAGCGUUUUGUUUGUGGGGGUGAUGGGGCCAGAGCAGGUAAGACCCUGCUGUCUGAGCUGAAGCCCCUUGCUCGCACCUUUUUAGGAGCACGAGGCCACGCAGACGUGUGUUCUUGGCACUUCGGAAAAGGCGCGCAGAGCGCUCUUGCUCUGCCACUGCCUGGAUCUCUUGCUCGCUUUAUCCCUGUUCUGCUUAUAACGGAGCUGCCGGCCCCAGAAGCACGUUUGUGCCUCUGGUCUUCAGCGGCCAGAGGAAGCGUGAGAUAGAGCCUUUGGUCCUUGCCCUGCAGAGCCAAGGCUGGAGGCAGGUGGGGCUUCAGGAAAGCCUGCCCCGGGGUGACAGUCCUGCCAUGAGCUGCUCGGCAGGCCGGGAGCCAGUGACAGGAGGAGCCCCGCUCGUGGACGUGGUCCUUUCUGAAUGUUGUGCCCUUGGGGACAUUUGUUCUCACAGCAGACGGACUGGAAACGGAAGCGAGGACCCAGCUUGUGGACCACGUGCCAGCCCAACAGGGCAACCGCGGGACCCGAUGUAGGAGGCUCUUUAUCCCUGCGCGGCUGGCUGGGCCGCCUGAGAAAGCUGCAUGGAGUAGGAGGUCCGUUAGGACUGGAGGAUUCUGACCCAACCCAAAGCCCCGUUUCCCAGAGGCCACCUGUCACGCGUCUCCUGGAGGCGGGAGGUGCUCUGGCGGGAGGCUACUUCCCAGAGGCAGAGCCGAGGACAGGCCACAGUUCAGGCAGGAUCUGCUCCCGACCCACAGAAGCCUGAGUCCCAGGUAAUAAACCCACCCGCCCUCCGACUACUGGCUCUUCACCACCUCCGCCCAGACUGUCCGUGUUCCAAGGCAAACCUGCCCCUGCAGCCACCAGCAGGGAGGGACCAUCAGGCGUCACCGGCUCUGCCUCGGCCACUUUCAUCCAGAUCUUUCUAACGGGGACGUAACCUCUCGUGCUCUCCGCUCCCACUUUGAUACAGAGAAGACGGCACGUUUCUCCUUUAUCUGGGGUGACUCUCGGCCCCCGUCUCCUCAUUUAUGGACUGGAGUCCCCCCCCAAGAAGGCUGGGUUGUCUGUCCCGGGUGCGGCACGUGCUGGGUGCUCGCUGCUGGGCUGACACACCUGACACCCUCCAGGGCUCCCGACUGCCGGGAAUGGCCCUGCACCCGGUGCCCGCGUCCCUGGGGGACGUCCACCUUGACCUCCUCCCUCCGGCCCGCUCCUCACUGUCACGGCCGCUUCUGGCUCAGCUGCAGCGCCUCUGCUCCUGGCUUCAGAGCCGCCACAGGCUGCUCUGCGUGGGGCUGGGGCUCAGGGCACGUGUACCGCCGGGGCCCUUCCCGCCUGUCCUGAGGGCCCGGCAGACCACAGGGGGGGCGCUGAGUAAGUGCUGACCGUCCUUCCAGCCCGUGCCGGCCCCUGCGUGGGUGCGUCUGAGCGUCCUUAACCUUGACCAGCACGAGCAGAGGGAAGGCCGUCUCUACGCAGGCCACGGGCCUCGUCAGCACCGCGCUCCUGCCCGCCCCCGGCUCUCGGCCAGCGUAGAAAGACACUCUUAGGUAAGAGACACGUUUUCUCCUUUUAUGGGGGAAAAAAGUGCACAGCAGUAUUGAAACUGUUCGAGUUUAAUUUGCUGACACAGGGUCUGUACCCGACCCACACUGGGUGCCACCACGCCCAUAGAGCGGCCUGGGGACAGACCCCGGCGUCCUCGCAUGUACCACUAGAGGAAUAGGUUUGCUCUGGAAUUCCAAAGUUUAUUCAAAAAGUCACUUAAUAAAAGCACAGUUUUGCAA